rfam:Canis lupus familiaris chromosome 20, whole genome shotgun sequence.
UCAUGCCCACUUUGACAGAAUGAACUAAAAUUGGCCCAAUACAGAGAAAAUUAUCAUAGAGCCUACAUAAGGAUGACACAGGUUUUUGAGGCAUUCCAUUUUGGU